rnacentral:rRNA from 1 species
GUUUAAUAACCUCAGCGAUGACGUUACCCGCAGAAGAAGCACCGGCUAACUCCGUGCCAGCAGCGCGGUAAUACGGAGGGUGCAGCGUUAUCGGAAUUACUGGGCGUAAAGCGCACGCAGGCGGUCUGUCAAGUCGGAUGUGAAAUCCCCGGGCUCAACUGGGAACUGCAUUCGAAACUGGCAGGCUAGAGUCUUGUAGAGGGGGGUAGAAUUCCAGGUGUAGCGGUGAAAUGCGUAGAGAUCUGGAGGAAUACCGGUGGCGAAGGCGGCCCCCUGGACAAAGACUGACGCUCAGGUGCGAAAGCGUGGGGAGCAAACAGGAUUAGAUACCCUGGUAGUCCACGCCGUAAACGAUGUCGACUUGGAGGUUGUGCCCUUGAGGCGUGGCUUCCGGAGCUAACGCGUUAAGUCGACCGCCUGGGGAGUACGGCCGCAAGGUUAAAACUCAAAUGAAUUGACGGGGGCCCGCACAAGCGGUGGAGCAUGUGGUUUAAUUCGAUGCAACGCGAAGAACCUUACCUACUCUUGACAUCCAGAGAACUUUCCAGAGAUGGAUUGGUGCCUUCGGGAACUCUGAGACAGGUGCUGCAUGGCUGUCGUCAGCUCGUGUUGUGAAAUGUUGGGUUAAGUCCCGCAACGAGCGCAACCCUUAUCCUUUGUUGCCAGCGGUCCGGCCGGGAACUCAAAGGAGACUGCCAGUGAUAAACUGGAGGAAGGUGGGGAUGACGUCAAGUCAUCAUGGCCCUUACGAGUAGGGCUACACACGUGCUACAAUGGCGCAUACAAAGAGAAGCGACCUCGCGAGAGCAAGCGGACCUCAUAAAGUGCGUCGUAGUCCGGAUUGGAGUCUGCAACUCGACUCCAUGAAGUCGGAAUCGCUAGUAAUCGUAGAUCAGAAUGCUACGGUGAAUACGUUCCCGGGCCUUGUACACACCGCCCGUCACACCAUGGGAGUGGGUUGCAAAAGAAGUAGGUAGCUUAACCUUCGGGAGGGCGCUACCACUUGUCGGAAGCG